rnacentral:rRNA from 1 species
UACGUAGGGGGCAAGCGUUGUCCGGAAUCAUUGGGCGUAAAGAGCGUGUAGGCGCCAGAAAAGUCCGCUGUGAAAACUCGAGGCUCAACUUCGAGCUGUCGGUGGAAACUUUCUGGCUAGAGUCCGGAAGAGGAGAAUGGAAUUCCUGGUGUAGCGGUGAAAUGCGCAGAUAUCAGGAAGAACACCCGUGGCGAAGGCGGUUCUCUGGGACGGUACUGACGCUGGAGACGCCGAAAGCGUGGGGAGCGAACAGG